CUGGCAACUUGGAGAAGUGGCAAGUCUUCCAGUAUGGGGAGCAAAACAGCUAUGGGUCAAGUCCGAUAUCUUUAGGAGAAGUCUUAUUGUGAGGGCGAGUUAUAUAACACCAUAGGACUGGCCGUCCCAUAUGAAAAGAUUAUAUUAGAAUUGAAUGAAGCUUUGUUUAUAUAUUGAUAAUGACAGUAUAUAUAUCGUGUCUUGACUAAUUGCGUGCCAGCAGUCGCGGUAAUACGUAAGAGACUAGUGUUAUUCAUCUUAAUUAGGUUUAAAGGGUACCCAGACGGUCAAUAUAGCUUAUAAAAUGUUAGUACUUGACUAGAGUUUUAUGUAAGAGGGCAGUACUUGAGGAGGAGAGAUGAAAUUUCGUGAUACCAAAGGGACUCUGUAAAGGCGAAGGCAGCCCUCUAUGUAAAAACUGACGUUGAAGGACGAAGGCACAGAGAACAAACAGGAUUAGAUACCCAAGUAGUCUUUGCAGUAAAUGAUGAAUGCCAUAGGUUAGAUUGGUCAAUUAUAGUCUAGGGUUAGUCUAGCAAACUAAUACCCUAUGCUAUAAUCCUAAUAUCUGGUCUAUAAAUGAAAGUGUAAGCAUUUCACCUCAAGAGUAAUGUGGCAACGCAGGAACUGAAAUCACUAGACCGUUUCUGACACCAGUAGUGAAGUAUGUUAUUUAAUUCGAUGA
rnacentral:rRNA from 1 species